rnacentral:rRNA from 1 species
UACGUAGGGGGCAAGCGUUGUCCGGAUUUAUUGGGCGUAAAGAGCGUGUAGGCGGCCAGACAAGUCUGCUGUGAAAACUCGAGGCUCAACCUCGAGCUGUCGGUGGAAACUGUCUGGCUAGAGUCCGGGAGAGGGAUGCGGAAUUCCAGGUGUAGCGGUGAAAUGCGCAGAUAUCAGGAAGAACACCCGUGGCGAAGGCGGCUCUCUGGGACGGUACUGACGCUGAGACGCGAAAGCGUGGGGAGCGAACAGG